AGGAAUAGGAAUAGGUAUAGGAAUAGGUAUAGGUAUAGGUAUAGGAAUAGGUAUAGGUAUAGGAAUAGUAUAGGUAUAGGAAUAGGUAUAGGUAUAGGUAUAGGAAUAGGAAUAGGUAUAGGUAUAGGAAUAGGUAUAGAUAUAGGAAUAGGUAUAGGUAUAGGAAUAGGAAUAGAUAUAGGUAUAGGAAUAGAUAUAGGAAUAGGUAUAGGUAUAGAUGUUUUGUGGUGCUAGGGAUCAAACCAGGAUUUCGCAGACACUGGGCAAACACUAGCCCUGAGUUAUUACAUCCCCAGCCAGAAGGUACUAAUGUUUUAGUUUUCUCUGGAUAAACUUUAUGAAUAAAGUUAUCAAGACAGGCUUCUCCUUUUACAUUGAAGUCUAACUAAAAACUCAAGCAGUUUAGAGCAUAGAUAUUAUAACUGUACAGUGGCG
ensembl:lncRNA